GCGUCGGUAGUGCAAUGGCUGGCAUACGCUCCCGGACAGAGUGAGAUCUGGGUUCGAAUCCCGGCUGACGCC